rnacentral:rRNA from 1 species
UACGGUAGGGGCUAGCGUUGUUCGGAAUUACUGGGCGUAAAGAGCGCGUAGGCGGCUUACCAAGUUGGGGGUGAAAUCCCGGAGCUCAACUCCGGAACUGCCUUCAAAACUGGUAGGCUCGAGUCCGGAAGAGGGGCGGGGAAUUCCCAGUGUAGAGGUGAAAUUCGUAGAUAUUGGGAAGAACACCGGUGGCGAAGGCGGCGCCCUGGUCCGGUACUGACGCUGAGGCGCGACAGCGUGGGGAGCAAACAGG